GCGCCCGUAGCUCAACUGGACAGAGUGUCAGGUUACGGCCCUGAAGGUUAGGGGUUCGACUCCUCUCGGGCGCGCCA
rnacentral:tRNA from 1 species